ensembl:snRNA U4 U4 spliceosomal RNA
AGCUUUGUGUAGUGGCAGUAUCAUAGCCAAUGAGGUUUAUCCUAGGUGCAAUUAUUGCUAAUUGAAAAUUUUUCCUGAUGUCCUGCCAUGAUGACUUGAAAUAUAGUUGGUGUUGGCAAUUUUUGGCAGUCUCUAUGGGGA